CGACUUGGGACUUGGACUUUCGAGCGACGCUUUAGCUACUAGUCGGUCGCAAGACCGACGAACGCGCGCUGGCUCUCGGAGGUCGGAAAGGUCGCCGUGGUCGUUCUUUCAUGACU
rnacentral:rRNA from 1 species